AAUACCUCAUAAUGCAGCGGAUCCGCAUGGAUAUGUUGUUAAAGGUUUACCGCCUUGGGAUAGGCUUGCGUCUGAUUAGUUAGUUGGUGUGGUUAACGGCACACCAAGGCUACGAUCAGUAACUGGUCUGAGAGGAUGAUCAGUCACACUGGAACUGAGACACGGUCCAGACUCCUACGGGAGGCAGCAGUGAGGAAUAUUGGGCAAUGCUCGAAAGAGUGACCCAGCAACGCCGCGUGGAGGAUGAAGGUAUUCUAUAUCGUAAACUCCUGUGAGAGCAGACGAAAGACAGAUUAUUAAUCUGGAUGACUGUAUGCUCAGAGGAAGCCCGGCUAACUACGUG
rnacentral:rRNA from 1 species